CAUGUUAGAGCACUUUUUCCCCAACGACAAGGCGACAACGCAUUCGUAUGUCAAUCCAUAUCAACUUUCGAUGCCAUUUACUGGGCCUACCAUGGUGACCAUGGGUAAUGGGGAAUCAGGGUUCGAUUCCGUACAGGGACCCUGACAAACAGCUACCACAUGCAAGGAAGGCAG